rnacentral:rRNA from 1 species
UACGUAGGGCGCCAGCGUUGUCCGGAAUUAUUGGGCGUAAAGAGCUCGUAGGCGGUUUGUCGCGUCUGCUGUGAAAACCUAAGGCUCAACCUUGGGCUUGCAGUGGGUACGGGCAGACUAGAGUGCGGUAGGGGUGACUGGAAUUCCUGGUGUAGCGGUGGAAUGCGCAGAUAUCAGGAGGAACACCGAUGGCGAAGGCAGGUCACUGGGCCGCAACUGACGCUGAGGAGCGAAAGCAUGGGGAGCGAACAGG